rnacentral:rRNA from 1 species
CGUAGUUGGAUUUCUGUUAAUACUUAUAUACAAUACCACGGUAUUUAUAUAACAUUAACAUAAUUCACAUUACUUAUUUAAAGUAUGUGAAACUUUACUUUGAGAAAAUUAGAGUGCUUAAAGCAGGCUAUUGCCUUGAAUACUCCAGCAUGGAAUAAUAUUAAAGAUUUUUAUCUUUCUUAUUGGUUCUAGGAUAAAAAUAAUGAUUAAUAGGGACAGUUGGGGGCAUUUGUAUUUAACAGUCAGAGGUGAAAUUCUUAGAUUUGUUAAAGACAAACUACUGCGAAAGCAUUUGCCAAGGAUGUUUUCAUUAAUCAAGAACGAAAGUUAGGGGAUCGAAGACGAUCAGAUACCGUCGUAGUCUUAACCAUAAACUAUGCCGACUAGAGAUUGGAGGUUGUUCCUUACUCCUUCAGCACCUUAUGAGAAA